UGNUCUGUCACUGACGCUGAGGCUCGAAAGCGUGGGUAGCGAACAGGAUUAGAUACCCUGGUAGUCCACGCCGUAAACGCUGAGUGCUAGGUGUUAGGUCCUUUCCGGGACUUAGUGCCGACGCUAACGCAUUAAGCACUCCGCCUGGGGAGUACGACCGCAAGGUUGAAACUCAAAGGAAUUGACGGGGGCCCGCACAAGCGGUGGAGCAUGUGGUUUAAUUCGAAGCAACGCGAAGAACCUUACCAGGUCUUGACAUCCCGAUGCCCGCUCUAGAGAUAGAGUUUUUCUUCGGAACAUCGGAGACAGGUGGUGCAUGGUUGUCGUCAGCUCGUGUCGUGAGAUGUUGGGUUAAGUCCCGCAACGAGCGCAACCCUUAUUGUUAGUUGCCAUCAUUAAGUUGGGCACUCUAGCGAGACUGCCGGUAAUAAACCGGAGGAAGGUGGGGAUGACGUCAAAUCAUCAUGCCCCUUAUGACCUGGGCUACACACGUGCUACAAUGGUUGGUACAACGAGUCGCAAGCCGGUGACGGCAAGCUAAUCUCUGAAAGCCAAUCUCAGUUCGGAUUGUAGGCUGCAACUCGCCUACAUGAAGUCGGAAUCGCUAGUAAUCGCGGAUCAGCACGCCGCGGUGAAUACGUUCCCGGGCCUUGUACACACCGCCCGUCACACCACGAGAGUUUGUAACACCCAAAGUCGGUGAGGUAACCAUUUAUGGGNCCA
rnacentral:rRNA from 1 species